rnacentral:rRNA from 1 species
CAGUAGCCGCGGUAAUACGGAGGGUGCAAGCGUUAAUCGGAAUUACUGGGCGUAAAGCGCACGCAGGCGGUCUGACAAGUCAGAUGUGAAAUCCCCGGGCUUAACCUGGGAACUGCAUUUGAAACUGUCAGGCUGGAGUCUUGUAGAGGGGGGUGGAAUUCCAGGUGUAGCGGUGAAAUGCGUAGAGAUCUGGAGGAAUACCGGUGGCGAAGGCGGCCCCCUGGACAAAGACUGACGCUCAGGUGCGAAAGCGUGGGAGCAAACAGGAUUAGAUACCCCAGUAGUCCCUGUCUCUUAUACC